rnacentral:rRNA from 1 species
GAUGAACGCUAGCGACAGGCUUAACACAUGCAAGUCGAGGGGCAGCACGGGAGUAGCAAUACAACUGGUGGCGACCGGCGCACGGGUGAGUAACGCGUAUGCAACCUGCCUAUCAGAAGGGAAUAACCCGGCGAAAGUCGGACUAAUACCGCAUAAAACAGGGGCACCGCAUGGUGAUAUUUGUUAAAGAAAUUCGCUGAUAGAUGGGCAUGCGUUCCAUUAGGUAGUUGGUGAGGUAACGGCUCACCAAGCCGACGAUGGAUAGGGGAACUGAGAGGUUGGUCCCCCACACUGGUACUGAGACACGGACCAGACUCCUACGGGAGGCAGCAGUGAGGAAUAUUGGUCAAUGGGCGAGAGCCUGAACCAGCCAAGUCGCGUGAAGGAAGAAGGAUCUAUGGUUCGUAAACUUCUUUUGCAGGGGAAUAAAGUGCAGGACGUGUCCUGUUUUGUAUGUACCCUGAGAAUAAGGAUCGGCUAACUCCGUGCCAGCCGCCGCAGUAAUAC